UUGUCUGAGUAUGAAUUCUGUAAUUUUCCUUCUUUUUCCUCCAUAAAUAUACCCCCCCAAAGUAGAUAAAUUCCUUUCUGUUUGUCUGAAGUAUGAAUUCUGUAAUUUGGCAAGUCUCUUUCACCUCCCCCACCCUUUUUCUGCCUUGUGUACAGGUUUAAGAAGCAAAACGGAAGACAGAGGAAAAGUAGAUGAAAAAGGAAAGUUGGUGAUCAUGUGUGCUUGCGAAGCUCUCUGCCCUUAACCCAAAAAAAGCCAGAGUGAGAGAGAGAGAGAGAAAGAGAAUGAAUUAAUAUACCAUUCUCCCUCACUUUCACCUGCUAUCCUUAGCCUUUCCAUAAAACCUUUCCUGCUACUCUGUCUUCCCCUCUCCCCUUCAAAUCUCUCUUCCUUCUUUCCCAUAUUUAGCCCUUGUUUUUCCUCCAAACCCUCACUCGCCCCAGAAUCCAGAAACCUUUUCUGGGGGAGAAUUGCAGUGUAGAGAGAUGGUGAGAGGGAAGACGCAGAUGAGGCGCAUAGAGAAUGACACGAGCAGGCAAGUGACCUUCUCCAAGAGAAGAAAUGGGCUGCUCAAGAAGGCGUGUGAGCUCUCUAUUCUCUGCGAUGCUGAGGUUGGAGUCAUCAUCUUCUCUUCUAGAGGAAAGCUUUAUGAAUUUGCAAGCUCGAGCAUGAAGGACACGAUACAGCGGUAUCGCAAGCACGCAAAAACACCACCUGAUGGCCCAGAAACGCAGCAGAACAUGGAGAAUCUGAGGCUUGAGGCGGCGAAGAUGACGAAGAAGAUAGAGCUUCUUGAAGUUGCAAAACGGAAACUCAUGGGAGAAGGUCUCGGAUCGUGCUCUGUUGAGGAACUGAAACAAAUGGAGCAACAGCUGGAGCGGAGCGCAAGCAUCAUCCGAGCCAAGAAGAUGCAGGUUUACAUGGAACAGAUUGAUCAACUUAAAGAGAAGGGGAAGAUCCUCCAAGCUGAAAAUGCAAUGUUAAGUGAGAAGGUCAUCCAUCGCUUAGAGGGGUCAUCCAUCACUGUUACACUCCCAAGUAAGUCAUCCAUUGCUUGAAGGGGUGAUCCAUCACUGUCGCACUCCCCUGAGUGAGUCAUUCAUGCUUGGAGGGGUCAUCCAUCGCUGUCACUCUUUCCCAGUGGUGGUUGACUGAAGCAUUCCCAUGGAUUCAAAAUAAAUGAACUAUCAGAAUAUCCAACCAACUCAUUCCCAGGUGCAGAAAAUGCUUAUCUAAGAAAAGGACACAAAUAAGAAAUUACUAUGACUGCCUUACGAAUGAUGUAAGUGUGCAACCUAACUUAAAUUUUGUUUAAUUUUUUAUAAAAUAUUUAUUUAAAUAAUACAAUUUUGGAGACACGAGGAUUGAGUUUGAUGCUCGAGUCUAUCGAUGCUGAGCGGGAAACGAAAUUUUGGAGGUACUAUAACCCUUUUCACUUAGUUGGAGUCGACGUCUACAAAUUUGGAGGUGGAAGGGGUGAUGAAGAGGAGAAGAAUGGUGGGGAUGAGGAAGAGACAAGUAGGAUACAUAGAGAUGAGAAUGAGGAAAAGGCUAUACAUAAAGAUGUGAGGUCAAAAGUUAGGUAUAAGGGAAAACUCUCUAACAGUCC